UGUUUUGAAAGGAUAGUAUUGUAAAUGGGGUCCCUUUUGUGUUGUUGAGGGAUGGGUGCUAAUGCUGGCAGCUGAAUGAUUGAUUCUCUUGUGACUGUUUUCAUUUGUUAAAGCUGAAACACAGUGUACGACACGGGACUUGACGACCAGACCUGCUUUUGGCAAGGUGCCAUGGCAGGCUCUCCGCAGAAGCGGUUGAGGAUUGGAGAAGAGGUUGCAGAUGAUCAAGGAGCGACACGUGCAGGGAUGGCUUGAAAACGGUGAUUAGCUUCAGGUUCCAGGUGGGACCUAGUGGUGACUGAGUUGCAGGUAUUCCAUGACAGAGCUCAUUCUGCCUGGGCUGCUUUUUGGGCCUUGGAGAGAUGAAGUCCCCAUGGUGUGGAGUGGUGCAAAAAGAGGAAUGGUCCAGCAAUUCGGGUUAAUAGGGGACAAGAGAACAAAGGGGUUUCAGAAUAACUGCUAACUGUUAUGACUACUGCAUGGGGCACUAUGCAAGUCUCUGACAUCCAGCCAAGAUGGACAAAGGAGAAGGACAAGGGAAAAGCCUGGGAGGAAGACUGUGAGCCUUCGGUACGAGAGACCCGCAGAGGGACCUACCAGAGACUGAUAACACAUGCGCCGGUGGGCGGGUUCGGAUUCCAGGAACUAGUUAUAAUAACCCUGCCUUUUCUAGAAGUAGUAAUGAAUAUGUAUUAGCCUAGGAGCAUAAAAACCAGCCGCCUGCUGUGACUUGUGUGCGUCUCGGUGGAGCAGAGACUCCCGGCGCACCCAGUGCUGUUUGCUUACCUCUAUUCAUUUAAUAAAUUAUAAACUUUGAUUGUAAUCCUAUUUGGGACUUAGUCAUUUAUUACAACAGACAACCUUGUAAAAUGCAGACAACCAGAAUCCUUACAACAAUUAAGUGGCAAUCACGGUGUAAGAAACAUUACCACCUCAAAGAGUAAAAGCCUCAAAAGAAAUGUGACUUGUAACAGGCCAGCAGCUGUGUGUUUUCGGUGAAGCACCAGGUAGAGUAUGAACCUGGAUUGCACAGUUAAUGGGGAAACGGGAGGGUCCUGGUCCUUGGGAGGGGAAAAAAAAAAAAAGGUAUAUAAACUGUGUAUGGAAUCGGUAGGUGCCCUCCUGCUCGCGGGACACCCGCCAUUGUAAUCUCAAAUAAAAAUGCUACUGUACUGAGA